rnacentral:rRNA from 1 species
UACGGGGGGGGCAAGCGUUGUUCGGAAUUACUGGGCGUAAAGGGCUCGUAGGCGGCCAACUAAGUCAGACGUGAAAUCCCUCGGCUUAACCGGGGAACUGCGUCUGAUACUGGAUGGCUUGAGGUUGGGAGAGGGAAGCGGAAUUCCCGGUGUAGUGGUGAAAUGCGUAGAUAUCGGGAGGAACACCAGUGGCGAAGGCGGCUUCCUGGCCUGUUCUUGACGCUGAGGCGCGAAAGCUAGGGGAGCAAACGGG